rnacentral:sRNA from 1 species
GUCGAAAGAAUUGUGGAAUAAACUACAGC